rnacentral:pre_miRNA from 1 species
UGACCUAGGUAGUCCCUGGUGCCCUAAGGGUCUACAUCAAGCACUUAGGAUGCCUGGAACUUGCCGGUCA